UAGGGUUCGAUUCCGGAGAGGGAGCCUGAGAACGGCUACCACAUCCAAGGAAGGCAGCAGGCGCGCAAAUUACCCAAUCCCGACACGGGGAGGUAGUGACAAUAAAUAACAAUAUGGGGCUCUUACGAGUCUCGUAAUUGGAAUGAGUACAAUUUAAAUCUCUUAACGAGGAACAAUUGGAGGGCAAGUCUGGUGCCAGCAGCCGCGGGAAUUUCCAGCUCCAAUAGCGUAUAUUAAAGUUGUUGCAGUUAAAAAGCUCGUAGUUGAAUUUCGGAAUCUGUCCGUCGGUCGGGCUUCACUGUCCGUACUGGCGUGAUGGGUUUCUACCUUCUGAAUAACCGGCAUGUCAUUAAUUUGGUGCGCCGGGGAAGCAGAACUAUUACCUUGAAAAAAUUAGAGUGCUUAAAGCAGGCUAUCGCCUGAAUAGAUUAGCAUGGAAUAAUAAAAUAGGACGGCAUGGUUCUAUUUUGUUGGUUUCUAGGAUCACCGUAAUGAUUAAUAGGGAUAGUUGGGGGCAUUAGUAUUCAAUUGUCAGAGGUGAAAUUCUUGGAUUUAUUGAAGACUAACUUCUGCGAGAGCAUUUGCCAAGGAUGUUUUCAUUAAUCAAGAACGAAAGUUAGGGGGAUCGAAGACGAUCAGAUACCGUCGUAGUCUUAACCAUAAACUAUGCCGACUAGGGAUCGGACGAUGUUAAUUUUUUAAUGACUCGUUCGGCG
rnacentral:rRNA from 1 species